GAUGAACGCUGGCGGCGUGCCUAAUACAUGCAAGUCGAGCGAACAGACGAGGAGCUUGCUCCUCUGACGUUAGCGGCGGACGGGUGAGUAACACGUGGAUAACCUACCUAUCAGACUGGGAUAACUUCGGGAAACCGGAGCUAAUACCGGAUAAUAUAUUGAACCGCAUGGUUCAAUAGUGAAAGACGGUUUUGCUGUCACUUAUAGAUGGAUCUGCGCCGCAUUAGCUAGUUGGUAAGGUAACGGCUUACCAAGGCGACGAUGCGUAGCCGACCGGAGAGGGUGAUCGCCCACACGGGAAGUGAGACACGGUCCAGACUCCUACGGGAGGCAGCAGUAGGGAAUCGGCCGCAAUGGGCGAAAGCCUGACGGAGCAACGCCGCGUGAGUGAUGAAGGUCUUCGGAUCGUAAAACUCUGUUAUGAGGGAAGAACAAAUGUGUAAGUAACUAUGCACGUCUUGACGGUACCUAAUCAGAAAGCCACGGCUAACUACGUG
rnacentral:rRNA from 1 species